UGCAAAAUAUGCUAAAUAUGUUUGGUUUAUUGAGAUAGUGUGGAGAUCUCAAUAAACCAAACAUAUUUAGCACAUUUUGCA
rfam:Xenopus laevis strain J chromosome 3S, whole genome shotgun sequence.